UACGUAGGGGGCGAGCGUUGUCCGAAGUUACUGGGCGUAAAGCGCGCGUAGGCGGUUAUUCAAGUCUGGGGUGAAAGGUUCAGCGCUCAACGUGAACGGUGCCUUGGAUACUGGAUGACUUGAGUCUGGGAGGGGGAAGGGGAAUUCCUGGUGUAGCGGUGAAAUGCGUAGAUAUCAGGAGGAACACCGGUGGCGAAGGCGCCUUCCUGGCCUAAGACUGACGCUGAGGUGCGAAAGCGUGGGGAGCAAACGGG
rnacentral:rRNA from 1 species